UAGUGGGUUUAACACCAUCGAAGGAGGAUCCUGGAAAGACAUGGCUGAAGACAUGUUUCUGGGGAGUUCAUUUUCACCUGUAAUCCCUGCCCAGUGAGAAUUUUUUCUGCUACUGAUCUCCUGGGAAGUAUUUGGAGACCACAGAAAAUGAGACAUAUCAGCUUCUUCACAAAAGAGUCCUGGACUGCUAAGGUCACUUAACCCCAGGCCUCAAAUCAUGGCAGCUAGCACUGGGAAACAUCUCAGAAAUCACCUAAUCCAGUCUUCUACAGGGAGAAGUUUCUUCUUAAUAAAAUGGUAAGUGGUCCUUUGAAAACUUUACCACACGUAAAAAUAAUUUGAGAUAGGCCUAAGAACAUUAUUACGUAAAUCUAAAGCAGCAGCAGGAUUAUGCUUAGGCCAAUGCCUGGCACAUUAUGGUAGGCGCUCAAUAAAGGCUUCCUACGACUAAUAAAUGAUGACUGAGCCAGCAAGUAAACUUACGUACUAUUCAGGUAUCAAAAGCCCCAUCUGCUGGUCAAAAAGAAUUAAUCUGUAGCCCUGCAGAUAGUGAUAAGAAAACUCAUGUUUCAGAAAAUUAUAAAAUAUUAAAAGGAAUAUCAAAUAGGAAAGGGGUAUUAGGGAUCAUCUGCUGAACCCACUUACUUUACAAAUGAAGACACUUUUUACAACACUGAUAAGUUCCCAAC
rnacentral:lncRNA from 1 species